ensembl:rRNA 5S_rRNA 5S ribosomal RNA
GUCUGCGGCCAUGCUACCCUGAACAAGCCUGAUCCCAUCUGAUCUCAGAAGCUAAUAAGCAGGGGCGGGUCUGGUUAGUACUUGGAUGGGAGACCACCUACGAAGACCAGGGGCUGUAGGCA